rnacentral:lncRNA from 1 species
AGCAUGAAAUAUAUUUUUAUGUUUAAUUACAGCAUUAUUCUUGAAAAUUAUAUAAUAUCUGAAAUAUCUGGUUGAGAUAUUUGUUACUUACUGGGCUGUCUAGCUCAUUACCUUUCUUUCUAUUUUUCAGAUUCAGAUAAUUAAUUUUGAGCGUGGGAAGAAAUAUUGGGACAGAGCUUUUAGAGGCGAGAUUUAGCAUUGUCAACUUCAUUGAACUUAGAUUUAUUGUUUUAGUAAAAUUUUAUUGGAUGUAAGAUAUUUGAUUUAAUUACUUGAAUUAAAGUUGAAUAAUAAUUAUUUGAAUUUAUUUCGCUGCGAUGCAUUGAUAUCGUGAUGAGAUGCCUUGCAUGCUUAUGGAGAGAGUUCUUCAUGAGUAUGCGGCGGUUGCCAUGACCCUCGAUUCACAAUCUCGGGUCGGAGGCGUGACAAUUAAUAUGGUAUCAGAGCAUAAAUGGAUAAAUUAUGACACAUAGAAUUUGAUAUAGUAUGAGUGUAGGUGGGUAAACAUUAGGAAUAUUGGGACGUUAAAGUAUGAGCAUCGUAAUAAUAAAAACAUCAAAAGUUCAGUUAAGAGAGCAAUAGAUAAUAAGACUCAACAAAUUGAUGGUAAGCAGUGCUCCAGAUGUGGCAAAAAUCAUACAGACAAGGAUUGCUAUUGGAAUACAGGUGCUUGUUUCAAAUGUGGUCAGAUGGAUCAUAAA